CCUACGGGUGGCAGCAGUGAGGAAUAUUGGUCAAUGGACGAGAGUCUGAACCAGCCAAGUAGCGUGAAGGAUGACUGCCCUAUGGGCUGUAAACUUCUUUUAUAUGGGAAUAAAACGUUCCUCGUGUGUGCUCUUGUAUGUACCAUAUGAAUAAGCAUAGGCUAACUCCGUGCCAGCAGCCGCGGUAAUAUGGAGGAUCCGAGCGUUAUUCGGAUUUAUUGGGUUUAAAGGGAGCGUAGGUGGGUGUUUAAGUCAGUUGUGAAAGUUUGCGGCUCAACCGUAAAAUGGCAGUUGAAACGGGCAGUCUGGAGUGCAGUAGAGGUGGGCGGAAUUCGUGGUGUAGCGGUGAAAUGCUUAGAUAUCACGAAGAACUCCAGUUGCGAAGGCAGUUCACUGGACUGCAACUGACACUGAGGCUCGAAAGUGUGGGUAGCAAACAGGAUUAGAUACCCCUGUAGUC
rnacentral:rRNA from 1 species